UUCACAACUGUUGAAAAAGUUUAUGAAUAGUUGUGUCACUUAAAAAAAUACUUUUAAAUAGAUUUUUAUUAGAAGAAACCUUACUUAAUUCUGCAGAUUUCUUCUCCUCCUUACGCUUUUCUCUUUCCAACUUUGACAAAGGAAAACUCUCUCUUCUUUGGUGAAGAACCUUCGUAGAAUCGUUGCUCGUUGGAUCAAUUAAUUCUAUAACUCAGGUUCCGACGGCGUAUAGUUGCGAUUAUAAUACUGUAUUGCGGUGAAUCUUGGCUGGAAUUCAAGGUGAAUAUUGAAGAUAUCACGGUUUUAGCGGAGUAAGAUUUACGAGCUCGGAAGAAUAAGCAUUAAGUUGAGUAGUAGAAGAUCAAUCAGGUACAGAUCGACAGAUUGAUAGGCCUCCCCAGUAGACAGGAUCUGACAUCAGCUGAUUGGUAGACAGGGAGGUGAACCAGACUCGUAGGAGCUACCAGCAGACUCGAGAGCAUUCCAUUGUUCCGGAGGUGCACAGGGAGACAGGCUCGAUCCAUAGCGGUAUUCUCAGAGACUACAUAAAGAGCUCCAUUUCAUUCGGAGCCAUAACUUUUGGGUACUUAUUCUUUUGUGUAUAUAAUUAUGGGCAUAGCGGGGUCCUGUCCCGCUUAUGUGAUAUGUUAUACUCUUCUUAGAGGCUCGUAGACAUGUGAAUAUGGUUAGAUGUGUCUGGCCUUGUCGACCUAUAUUUUGUAUAUUAUUUUGAUAGCCUUGACGACUCAUGUACAUUGACGUGGUAUAGAUGCCAACCAUGAUAUUAAAGCAUUGUCGUCCAAUAGGACUAGCAUGAAUGGUGAUUAGAAAUGUAUGUUUAAUUAUGUGACUCACCUAAAUGUAAGUGAA